GAGCGGGUACGUCUUCCCGCAACAUCGAACCGCUCCGAACCUGCACAAAAUCCAAGCUUGACUUCUCCACAUCGAGAUUCCAGUGACCCGUGAAGGCUCUCCAAAGUGGCUCCCGGUCUCGCCAUCGUCGUCACGUCGGAGCUCUCAUCCAUCAAAAUCCAUCGCUGAGUUCGUGACCAGACCACAACACGAUAGCAUUUGCUCCAUAUGAAGCUUCUUCGGUGCGUUCUUGCUUUGCAACCGGCAUCUCCGUCUUGUUCCGUUCUCGUGGUCACCGGAAUCAGCCAAGCUCGAACCACGAAGCUCCGGCCAUUUGAUUAAGCUCCGACGAACCGUGAUAGCUCGUGCCGUAGUCUCUCCUCCCCGAUUCACGCCGUCGUCGUCAUCAAUAAAUCGCGGCUGUGCUCAGAGUCGCCGCCGUGACCUCAGCUCGAGCCGUGAAAGCAUGUCCUGAAGCUCCGGGGUCGUCGCUUCUCUGCUCCGUCCGUGCCGUGCUCGCAACCAAACAGGCUCGCCGUCGUCAGCAACCAGAACCGGCG
rnacentral:lncRNA from 1 species